AAUUUUUGACAAUGGGCGAAAGCCUGAUCCAGCCAUGCCGCGUGCAGGAUGAAGGCCUGCGGGUUGUAAACUGCUUUUGUACGGAACGAAAAGCUUUGGGUUAAUACCCUGGAGUCAUGACGGUACCGUAAGAAUAAGCACCGGCUAACUACGUUCCCUCAGCCACGGUAAUACGUAGGGUGCAAGCGUUAAUCGGAAGUACUGGGCGUAAAGCGUGCGCGGGCGGUUUUGUAAGACAGAGGUGAAAGCCCCGGGCUCAACCUGGUAAGGGCCUUUGUGACUGCAAGGCUAGAGAAAGGCAGAGAGAGGUGGAAUUCCGCGUGUAGCAGUGAAAUGCGUAGGUAUGCGGAGGAACACCGAUGGCGAAGGCAACCCCCUGGGCCUGUACUGACGCUCAUGCACGAAAGCGUGGGUAGCAAACA
rnacentral:rRNA from 1 species